rnacentral:tRNA from 1 species
GAGAUAUUAGUAUAAAAUUUAGUAUAAUUUAUUUUCAGUAAAUAGGUUUUGUUAUCUUAU